GCUUCUGUGGCGCAAUUGGCUAGCGCGUUCGGCUGUUAACCGAGAGGUUGGUGGUUCAAGCCCACCCAGGAGCG
rnacentral:tRNA from 1 species